rnacentral:rRNA from 1 species
CCCUUAGAUGUUCUGGGCCGCACGCGUGCUACACUGAGUGGAUCAGCGGGUCAGGUUGCGCGAAAGCGUUUCCUAAUCUUUAAAUCCGCUCGUGAUGGGGAUUGACGGUUGCAAUUUUCUGUCAUGAACGAGGAAUACCUUGUAAGCGCGGGUCAUCAUCCCGCGCUGAAUACGUCCCUGCCCUUUGUACACACCGCCCGUCGCUCCUACCGAUUGAGUGAUCCGAUGAAUAUCAUGGAUUGAGGAUGCAAGUAGGUUCACCUAUCUUCAUCUUCGAGAAGUGAAGUAAAUCUUAUCAUUUAGAGGAAGGAGAAGUCGUAACA